AUGCUCGUGUCAGUGUUCGUGUUGGAGUUUAAACUGAGACGUCGAGGAGCUCGUUACCAUGGAGAUUGCCGACAGGAGAAGGGGUUUCCCUCCAUAGCAGCACUGAGCUCAUCUCUCCCAAAGAGGUACCGCACACAAUAUACCUCCAUCCUCCAUCCUUCAUCCAACCAUCCAUCCAACCAUCCAUCCAACCAUCUAUCCUCUUUCUAUCCUCCAUCCGUCUGUUCUGCUGAGUCGUAUCAGCGUCACAGACGACAGGAGGAGCAGAGGUCAGCUCAUUGUGACAGAGGUCAAACAGAUGUGACGGGCAACAGCACACACAGGCAAUGUUUCCUCUAAGCUGCGCACGUGCACAAUUGCGCACUGUUGGCACGGUCACUGAGCAGAGAAAAUCUGCGUUGCGCAUACAGACAAAAAAAUCUAACCUGAAUUGAAAUUAAAGUAAAUAUUGUGGUGUAGUUGCAUUGUACAGUAGAUCAGGGCCGUGCAGAGAUGUUUAAAGGGGCGGGUGCUCAAAGUUAAAAAGGGGCACACUGAACCAGGCUGAAUAACAACAACACACAUUCAUCAAGAAUCUAAUAUGGGACCGCAUCAUACUAUAUCACUGUUGUAAGGUGGCGACAAGGCAAAGCAAACGUAGCCUAUGUUUUACCUGAUGGGUACAAUGUUGCUGUUGAGGGGUUGCUUCUGCUCCUGCUGCUGAUAGUGUUGGAGGGCAGGGCUGUGUUGAUCUGAGACUGUAGACAUUAAAAAGUCCAUAGGAGAGAUGGUAGCUGAUUAAACAAGUGUCAUGAGAUAAUAACAAAAUGCAAAGAUUGGUGACAGCGCUUGGAACCAUAAAGCAACAAAAAACUGUGAGAAAUAAAUUAGGCUCUGCCUGUGAUUCACUCUGCUUCUCUUCCUCCUAUUUCCUCAUCUCAUCUAUCACUCUCCACUUGCUGUCUAUCUGAGAACAAGGCACAACUUGCUAUUGCAAUACACUAUUAUUUAAUUAUCCACACCUAACAACUCUUACACUUAAUCUAUAAUAAAAUGAUGACAGAAAAAUGUUAUAGCACUGCCUUUAGUAGCCUCACACAGCUCCUACUGUUUCCUCCUCAUGUCCUUACCAGGCAUGUCUGGACAAUGUUAUAUUAUGAGUAAUAAUUUAAAAAAUCCAUAUACAUAAAACACACACAUGCACGCACAUAUAGUGACAUUUCAGACCUUCUUCAGAAUACUGUAUAUAAUAUGGGCAUCAUGGUGUUGAUCCAGAAUCCUUACAUUAUUAUUUAUUACUAGAGCUACAAUAAUAAAGCAAUGAGGAGGGGGAAGCAAUAAAUAUGAAAUAAUGUAUUUAUGAUGAUUCCAUUUGUUUCACUAUCCACUCUGUGCAGGCAGAAAUCUUAUUACAUUUUUAAACUGUAGAGAUACAAUAAUUUUACUGCUGUAAAAUCCCAGUUUUGUCUUGUUUAAAAUAUAAAUCUAAUAUAAUCUGUUUCUUAAUGUAUGCUCUUUAAAAUACAGCAUGUGUUUUUUUAAAAUAUUAUAAUUAUAAUAAUGCAUAAUUAUGUGGACAUGCAUAUUAGAUCGUUUUUUAGUGAAAUAUAAUCCCCCCAGAAAGGCAGGAAAAGCCCUGUAACGUACUUUAAAACUAAAUAUGCUACAGACCCACGACAGCCUUACACAGUGAGCCAGCAGCUAUGACCAGCACUACUUCUGCAGUUAAUAAAAGGACAGGUAAAGUUUGUCGCGCUGUUGCACACACAGCACGCUCAUUUGUUUCAGUUCGUCAGUUGCCACAAGACAGCUUAAAAACGUGUACGUAAUAAGCCAAUACUCCUGUGUGCUUUAGACCAGCGGUCCCCAACCUUUUUUGCGCCACGGACCGGUUUAUGCCCGACAAUAUUUUCACGGACCGGCCUUUAAGGUGUCGCGGAUAAAUACAACAAAAUAAAACUAGUGCCGGUACCGAAAAAAAGAAGAUUUAUUCAUAACACACGUGAAAAGACCCAGGAAAACCGAGUUAACGCUAAAAACGAUAACAAAAUAACGCUGAAAACCGAUAAAAACCCUGAAAACCAUACAUUUCACACCUGAGCCUCAACUCUCGCGGCCCGGUACCAAACGACUCACGGACCGGUACCGGGUUGGGGACCGCUGCUUUAGACUACAGUGUGCGCUGUACACCUACUUACUGGUUUUGUCACAUCAGUCUGUGUCUGAGUUAAUUUGUGUUUCUCCUACAGCUCCAGACCGCAAAAAAUGCGCGUGCUCUUUGUGAGCUCGUUCCCAGCUCGUAACCAGCACGUAACCAGCCGUCAAGGGCGAUCAUUGGUUAAAUGUGAUCAUGUGACUAAUGCAAGCGAGAUCCUUUUAUUUAGCAAAACUGUGAUUAAUAGUUAAAUAUUAUUGUUGAGGGGCACAGACAGGACUCCACACGCACACACACAUAAAAAAAAAAUUAUAAUUUUUUUUUUUAAAGUUGCCUCAACAAAAGGGCACUUUGGGCACCCAUCAGGAAAGGGGCGGGUGCUCAAGCCCCUCCAGCCCCCCCCUCUGCACGUGCCUGCAGUAGAUGUUAAUGCAGUCAGUGUAGUUAGGCUGAUGGCAGCUAGAGGGCGAGACCGGUGUGUUUUGAAUAGAAUGUUAUGUUAUGUGGGGAGCAGAGCAAGAAUGGAUAAAUAAAGUGUGGUUAUGAAUCGUACAGUGGACCUGCGUAUAAUUGAAUAACACGACAAAUAUGUGCCAACACCGGUGUUUUAG
ensembl:lncRNA